rnacentral:misc_RNA from 1 species
CUCGUCUCCUUCGGUCCAACUUCAUUAUGCAUGACCCUUGGCACAUCGCUGCUCCAUAUCUGACGAUCCAAUGCUGGCAUCUUGCUGCCUUUCACCGUCGUCAGCCAUUGGUGGCCCUCCUACAUGCCACCGACCNNNNGUGCCUUCGAUCUAAAGACCCAAGGUUCUUGCUGGUGCUAUUCAAGCCAAUUCACAUGGGC